rnacentral:rRNA from 1 species
GACGAACGCUGGCGGCGUGCCUAAUACAUGCAAGUAGAACGCUGAAGCUUGGUGCUUGCACCGCUCGGGUGAGUUGCGAACGGGUGAGUAACGCGUAGGUAACCUGCCUGGUAGCGGGGGAUAACUAUUGGAAACGGUAGCUAAUACCGCAUAAUAUUAUAUGUUGCAUGACAUUUUCUUAAAAGGUGCAAUUGCUUCACUACCAGAUGGACCUGCGUUGUAUUAGCUAGUUUGUGAGGUAACGGCUCACCAAGGCAACGAUACAUAGCCGACCCUGGAGGGUGGACGGCCACACUGGGAAUGAGACAAGGCCCAGAAUCCUAAGGGAGGCAGCAGUAGGGGAUCUUCGGCAAAGGACGGAAGGCUGAACGAGCAAAGCCGCGGGAGGGAAGGAGGGUUUCGGAUUGUAAAGCUCUGUUGUAUGAGAAGAACGAGUGUGAGAGUGGAAAGUUCACACUGUGACGGUAUCUAACCAGAAAGGGACGGCUAACUACGUG